rnacentral:tRNA from 1 species
GCGCCUAUAGCUCAGUUGGUUAGAGCGCUACCUUGACAUGGUAGAGGUCCCCAGUUCGAGUCUGGGUAGACGCA